rnacentral:rRNA from 1 species
GAUGAACGCUAGCUACAGGCUUAACACAUGCAAGUCGAGGGGUAACGAGAGGAAAGCUUGCUUUCCUUGUCGACGACCGGCGCACGGGUGAGUAACGCGUAUCCAACCUGCCCCCAACUAGGGAAUAACAUUGCGAAAGUAAGACUAAUACCCUAUAAUUUCCUCAGAUGUCAUCUGACGAGGAAUAAAGAUUUAUUGGUUGUGGAUGGUGAUGCGUCUGAUUAGCUUGUUGGCGGGGUAACGGCCCACCAAGGCAACGAUCAGUAGGGGUUGUGAGAGGAAGGUCCCCCACAUUGGAACUGGGACACGGUCCAAACUCCUACGGGAGGCAGCAGUGAGGAAUAUUGGUCAAUGGGCGGAAGCCUGAACCAGCCAAGUAGCGUGCAGGAUGACGGCCCUAUGGGUUGUAAACUGCUUUUAUACAGGAAUAAAGUUAGCCACGUGUGGUUAUUUGUAGGUACUGUAUGAAUAAGGACCGGCUAAUUCCGUGCCAGCCGCCGCGGUAA